UUAAGCAUAUCAAUAAGCGGAGGAAAAGAAACCAACAGGGAUUACCUCAGUAACGGCGAGUGAAGCGGUAACAGCUCAAAUUUGAAAUCUGGGCCUUUCAGGCUCCGAGUUGUAAUUUGUAGAAGAUGCUUCGGGUGCGGCUCCGGUCUAAGUUCCUUGGAACAGGACGUCAUAGAGGGUGAGAAUCCCGUAUGUGAUCGGUUGCCUGCGCCCGUGUGAAGCUCUUUCGACGAGUCGAGUUGUUUGGGAAUGCAGCUCAAAAUGGGUGGUAAAUUUCAUCUAAAGCUAAAUAUUGGCCAGAGACCGAUAGCGCACAAGUAGAGUGAUCGAAAGAUGAAAAGCACUUUGGAAAGAGAGUUAAACAGUACGUGAAAUUGUUGAAAGGGAAGCGCUUGCAACCAGACUUGCGCGUUGCCGAUCAUCCGGGGUUCUCCCCGGUGCACUCGGCCUCGCUCAGGCCAGCAUCGGUUUCGGUGGUGGGAUAAAGGCCUUGGGAAUGUAGCUCCUCUCGGGGAGUGUUAUAGCCCUCGGUGCAAUGCCGCCUACCGGGACCGAGGACCGCGCUUCGGCUAGGAUGCUGGCGUAAUGGUUGUAAGCGACCCGUCUUGAAACACGGACCAAGGAGUCUAACAUCUAUGCGAGUGUUUGGGUGUCAAACCCAUACGCGUAAUGAAAGUGAACGGAGGUGAGAACCCUUAAGGGUGCAUCAUCGACCGAUCCUGAUGUCUUCGGAUGGAUUUGAGUAAGAGCAUAGCUGUUGGGACCCGAAAGAUGGUGAACUAUGCCUGAAUAGGGUGAAGCCAGAGGAAACUCUGGUGGAGGCUCGCAGCGGUUCUGACGUGCAAAUCGAUCGUCAAAUUUGGGUAUAGGGGCGAAAGACUAAUCGAACCAUCUAGUAGCUGGUUCCUGCCGAA
rnacentral:rRNA from 1 species